rnacentral:rRNA from 1 species
CCUACGGGAGGCAGCAGUAGGGAAUCUUCCGCAAUGGACGAAAGUCUGACGGAGCAACGCCGCGUGAACGAUGAAGGCCUUCGGGUCGUAAAGUUCUGUUGUUAGGGAAGAACAAGUGCUAGUUGAAUAAGCUGGCACCUUGACGGUACCUAACCAGAAAGCCACGGCUAACUACGUGCCAGCAGCCGCGGUAAUACGUAGGUGGCAAGCGUUGUCCGGAAUUAUUGGGCGUAAAGCGCGCGCAGGCGGUUUCUUAAGUCUGAUGUGAAAGCCCCCGGCUCAACCGGGGAGGGUCAUUGGAAACUGGGAAACUUGAGUGCAGAAGAGGAAAGUGGAAUUCCAAGUGUAGCGGUGAAAUGCGUAGAGAUUUGGAGGAACACCAGUGGCGAAGGCGACUUUCUGGUCUGUAACUGACGCUGAGGCGCGAAAGCGUGGGGAGCAAACAGGAUUAGAUACCCUGGUAGUCCACGCUGUAAACGAUGAGUGCUAAGUGUUAGAGGGUUUCCGCCCUUUAGUGCUGAAGUUAGCGCAUUAAGCACUCCGCCUGGGGAUACGGUCGCAAAGACUGAAACUCAAAAUGAAUUGACCGG